GUGAAUUAGGAGGCGUGGUUAUCGCUUUAGAGUGGCAGCCAUUUUUUUCCACCGCAUCACAACAACUGACUCGGGAAAAAGAUGACUAAGACAGGGAAGUCAGACAGCUACUGGAGGGACCUCUGCAUAAAAUAUGCCCAGGACCAAUACCGCUUCUCGACUGGCAAACGGCCAGGGGCCAAGAAAUGGAAAAAGGCCUUGGAGAGUAUCGAUGCCUGCCCCCUGCAGAGCCAUAGUGCUAGUAAGGAUCUGUUCGGGAGAAGCCUUCAGUGCUCCUGUGGGUUCCAAAAGGCGAGCGCAUAGCAGUGGAGUAUUUAUUGGCCCAGACCAACAGAGGUGACCUGCUGGCUCCAAAUCAGGUCCCUGAGGUCCCCUCGCAGGUACUUGAGGAGGAGGAUGAGCCAGAUGACACCAUCAGCAUGACUGACAUUCUGUGCCAGUCAGCUGCGAUAGGGGCUGGUGAUCCUCCAGGUGCUGUGGUGGGUGAUGCUGAACCCGGACCCCUCGUCACAGAGACCAGCCAAUGUGACUCAAGGAGGAUGCGGUUGAUAACCUGGCAGGCUACCUAGUUGGCUUGAAUCGCACCAUCACUGCCUUGUCAUUGAAGGAGGAGGUGGACAUAGUCCAGCUAUAUACAGCUCUCCAUGUCAUGGACAAGAAGCAUUCGAGGUACAAAAUAGUAAUCCCUAUUGACGACUCUAUUGACGACUUUACAUCCUUGUUCACAGUCCAGAUCAUAUCAUGAUGUGGGAGUCAUGUAUAGUUCCACAGACUGUACAUGACUCACGGCCAAGCAGCCCAGGAUCCCGAACACCACAGGGUCAGUGAGUGUGUCUGCCUCAGACUCCCUUUUGGAGUUCCAGGAGCCUGAGAACCGUGAGGGUGCGGCAAAAGUCCGCCAGCGACACAGUUCCAGGACACCUGUACCACGUGCCAUUCCACACACAGAGCUAUUACCAAGCACGAUGCUGCUUCCUCUGGAAACAGCUGUAUGGAGAGCUGGUCCUCUACCUACCAGCCACCCCCAACAAACUACCAGAGCUGGACUUCUUUUCUUCAGGCACCCCCGGAACACUCCCAGGAGUACUCCUCUGCCCAUCAGCUACCCCCAGCUCACACUCAAGGCUGGUCCACUUACCAGGCACCCCUUGCACACUCCCAUGUUUGGUCUUCCACCCAACCACCACCCUCAGCGUCCAACCAGGGCUGGUCUGCCACCCAACCACCACCCUCAGCAUCCUCCCAGGGCUGGUCAUCCACCUCCUACUGUCCUGACCAACCUAGGCUCCCUCACCAAGCACACCCAGAGGCACUAGGUCACCUUAAUCGCCAGCGUGAAUGGCGAUUACACAAGGCAACCCAAAUCCAAGCAAACUGGACACUAUCAGUUACGUGGAAAAUGGUACUGCCCUGCAUCCGGACAGAUGCUUGAGGAGUGGAGAAGCUCCUUGUAAUUACCCCAAUAGACAUUAUUUUUUAUUGUAAUUUUUUUUAUUUCUUAUCAGAAAAUAUGUUAACGUUCACUGUUGAAAAAUAAGUAUAUUUGCUGUUGCAAAAAAUAAUAAUAAUUAGUUGCCGUUGCAACUAUUUGCAAAAAAAAACAAACAGAAUAGUUGCUUAUGCAACUAUUUGCAAAAAUAAAAACAACUACAAAAAUAACAACUCUUGUGGUGUAAUAGUAACACGUCCAUCCUUGGGGUGGGAGACUCCAGGUGCAAAUCCUGGUAAGAGUGUGCAACUUGUUGAAACGAAUACAUCAUUUAAAAAGUAUUAAUAACAUACAAAACAGGGCAAUUUCAAGAUAUUCUAUGUUAAUGGCUUGCAGGUCAAACCAAUAAAUCACUUAUUAAGUAUGUUUAUUCUUCAAAAAGCAUUAUUUUGCAUAUUAAAAGCUAAGAAUUUCA